GUUGUUGCAGUUAAAAAGCUCGUAGUUGGAUUUCUGGCAUGAUGCGCCUGGCCCGCCUCGAUUACGAGUGUGUGUGCGAGUGCGCGUCUGCCAUCCAUUUGCAGAAUGUAUCUACCCUUCACUGGGCUGGAUAUGUGAUGUAAAUCUUUUACUUUGAAAAAAUUAGAGUGUUUAAAGCAGGCAUUUGCUAUGAAUACAUUAGCAUGGAAUAAUAAUCUAGGACUUCCGUUCUAUUUUGUUGGUUUCUAGAUCUGGAGUAAUGAUUGAUAGGGAUAGUUGGGGGUGCUAGUAUUAAGGGGCCAGAGGUGAAAUUCUUGGAUUCUCUUAAGACUAACUUAUGCGAAAGCAUUCACCAAGGAUGUCUUCUUUAAUCAAGAACGAAAGUUGGGGGAUCGAAGACGAUCAGAUACCGUCGUAGUCUCAACCAUAAACUAUGCCAACUAGGGAUGAGUGAGCGUUGCAUUUUCGACUUCAUUCGCACCUUAUGAGAAAUCAAAGUUUUUGGGUUCCGGGGGGAGUAUGGUCGCAAGGCUGAAACUUAAAG
rnacentral:rRNA from 1 species